rnacentral:rRNA from 1 species
CCUACGGGAGGCAGCAGUGGGGAAUUUUGGACAAUGGGCGAAAGCCUGAUCCAGCAAUGCCGCGUGAGUGAAGAAGGCCUUCGGGUUGUAAAGCUCUUUUGUCAGGGAAGAAACGGUGAGGGCUAAUAUCCCUUGCUAAUGACGGUACCUGAAGAAUAAGCACCGGCUAACUACGUGCCAGCAGCCGCGGUAAUACGUAGGGUGCAAGCGUUAAUCGGAAUUACUGGGCGUAAAGCGUGCGCAGGCGGUUUUGUAAGUCUGUCGUGAAAUCCCCGGGCUCAACCUGGGAAUUGCGAUGGAGACUGCAAGGCUAGAAUCUGGCAGAGGGGGGUAGAAUUCCACGUGUAGCAGUGAAAUGCGUAGAGAUGUGGAGGAACACCGAUGGCGAAGGCAGCCCCCUGGGUCAAGAUUGACGCUCAUGCACGAAAGCGUGGGGAGCAAACAGGAUUAGAUACCCUGGUAGUCCACGCCCUAAACGAUGUCUACUAGUUGUCGGGUUUUAAUUAACUUGGUAACGCAGCUAACGCGUGAAGUAGACCGCCUGGGGAGUACGGUCGCAAGNUUAAAACUCAAAGGAAUUGACCGG